rnacentral:rRNA from 1 species
AUUGAACGCUGCGGCAGGCCUAACACAUGCAAGUCGAACGGUAACAGGAAACAGCUUGCUGUUUCGCUGACGAGUGGCGGACGGGUGAGUAAUGUCUGGGAAACUGCCUGAUGGAGGGGGAUAACUACUGGAAACGGUAGCUAAUACCGCAUAACGUCGCAAGACCAAAGAGGGGGACCCUCGGGCCUCUUGCCAUCGGAUGUGCCCAGAUGGGAUUAGCUUGUUGGUGGGGUAACGGCUCACCAAGGCGACGAUCCCUAGCUGGUCUGAGAGGAUGACCAGCCACACUGGAACUGAGACACGGUCCAGACUCCUACGGGAGGCAGCAGUGGGGAAUAUUGCACAAUGGGCGCAAGCCUGAUGCAGCCAUGCCGCGUGUAUGAAGAAGGCCUUCGGGUUGUAAAGUACUUUCAGCGGGGAGGAAGGGAGUAAAGUUAAUACCUUUGCUCAUUGACGUUACCCGCAGAAGAAGCACCGGCUAACUCCGUG